CACAUGGACCCAUGCAAUUGCGUUGAAAUGCGCUAAAACAGAGCGUUUCAGACAGAGGUUUACAUCAUGUCAGGAUGAGUGGCAUGUUGACAUUGAAGAGAGACAAGAGACGCAGCUCGACCUGCUGCGAAGGGCCCACUCAGAAACAUCACAUGGACGAGGGUCAAGCUGAAGGUCCACUUCCCCAAAAGCUCCCCAUUAUCUCCAGCUGACUGCAUUAGCGCUGCCAUCGUGGAGCCCCACGCUGAGAGCCUCCUGACCUUGUUGAUGAAGGAGUUCUGGGGAGAAGGAGGUGACAUCAUCAGACGAGGACAGACUCCAGGCUUUUCAGAACGGCAGCGCUUUGAGGCAGCACUGAAAACUCUAAAGUUUGAAGAGUAUUUCUUUUUUUUUUCAUCUGUGAAAUAUUUAUGUUUUGACUCCUUUAUUAAUUUUGCUCCGCAGCCCAAGAUUUGUCUGAUCCUCAUUCUUAAUAUUUAUGUGGACCGCAAUAGCCUUACCCAACCUUU